rnacentral:rRNA from 1 species
GAAAACAAGUCGUUCCAAUCACUGAAGUUAAGCAACGUCGAGCGUGGAUAGUACUUGGAUGGGUGACCGCUUGGGAACACCACGUAACGUUGGCG